rnacentral:rRNA from 1 species
CAGUAGCCGCGGGAAUACGGAGGGUGCAAGCGUUAAUCGGAAUUACUGGGCGUAAAGCGCACGCAGGCGGUUUGUUAAGUCAGAUGUGAAAUCCCCGAGCUUAACUUGGGAACUGCAUUUGAAACUGGCAAGCUAGAGUCUUGUAGAGGGGGGUAGAAUUCCAGGUGUAGCGGUGAAAUGCGUAGAGAUCUGGAGGAAUACCGGUGGCGAAGGCGGCCCCCUGGACAAAGACUGACGCUCAGGUGCGAAAGCGUGGGGAGCAAACAGGAUUAGAGACCCCAGUAGUCCCUGUCUCUUAUAC